CGACGCGGAUUACGGUGGC
rnacentral:sRNA from 1 species